rnacentral:rRNA from 1 species
UACGAAGGGGGCUAGCGUUGUUCGGAAUUACUGGGCGUAAAGCGUGCGCAGGCGGCCAUUCAAGUCAGGGGUGAAAGCCCAGAGCUCAACUCUGGAACUGCCCUUGAAACUGUAUGGCUUGAGUAUGAGAGAGGUGAGUGGAAUUCCCAGUGUAGAGGUGAAAUUCGUAGAUAUUGGGAAGAACACCGGUGGCGAAGGCGGCUCACUGGCUCAUAACUGACGCUCAUGCACGACAGCGUGGGGAUCAAACAGG